rnacentral:rRNA from 1 species
GAUUAACGCUGGCGGCGUGCCUAACACAUGCAAGUCGAGCGGCAGCGAGUUUUACACUGAAUUCUGGAAGCUUCUAGUUGAAAGAGAAGAUUUAUUCAAGAAUUUUGUGUAAAAUGUCGGCGGGCGGCGGACGGCUGAGUAACGCGUGGGAACGUACCCCAAAGUGAGGGAUAACGCAUCGAAAGGUGUGCUAAUACCGCAUAUGGUCUUCGGAUUAAAGCCUUCGGGCGCUUUGGGAACGGCCUGCGUAAGAUUAGAUAGUUGGUGGGGUAAUGGCCUACCAAGUCGACGAUCUUUAACUGGUUUGAGAGGAUGAUCAGUCAGACUGGAACUGAGACACGGUCCAGACUCCUACGGGAGGCAGCAGUGAGGAAUCUUCCACAAUGGGCGAAAGCCUGAUGGAGCAACGCCGCGUGCAGGAUGAAGGCCUUCGGGUUGUAAACUGCUUUUAUAAGUGAGGAUUAUGACAGUAACUUAUGAAUAAGGAUCGGCUAACUACGUG